CACGUAGGGCGCAAGCGUUGUCCGGAAUUAUUGGGCGUAAAGAGCUCGUAGGCGGUCUGUUGCGUCCGCUGUGAAAACUCGGGGCUUAACCCGGAAAGGUCAGCCGAUACUGCGGGGCUAGAGUGCAGAAGGGGCAACUGGAAUUCUCGGUGUAGCGGUGAAAUGCGUAGAUAUCGAGAGGAACACCUGCGGCGAAGGCGGGUUGCUGGGCUGACACUGACGCUGAUGCGCGAAAGCUAGGGGAGCGAACGGG
rnacentral:rRNA from 1 species